rnacentral:rRNA from 1 species
GAUGAACGCUGGCGGCGUGCUUAACACAUGCAAGUUGAACGGUUGUGGGAUGGGCGAGUAACACGUGGGAACCUGCCUUUCACAGGGGGAUAACACUUGGAAACAGGUGCUAAUACCGCAUACUGAUGGAUGGACCCGCGGUGCAUUAGCUAGUUGGUGAGUUAACGGCUCACCAAGGCCACGAUGCAUAGCCGACCUGAGAGGAUGAUCAGCCACACGGGGACUGAGACACGGCCCAGACUCCUACGGGAGGCAGCAGUGGGGAAUAUUGCACAAUGGGCGCAAGCCUGAUGCAGCCAUGCCGCGUGUAUGAAGAAGGCCUUAGGGUUGUAAAGUACUUUCAGCGGGGAGGCGUUACCCGCAGAAGAAGCACCGGCUAACUCCGUGCCAGCAGCCGCGGUAAUUC